rnacentral:rRNA from 1 species
CCUACGGGAGGCAGCAGUGGGGAAUUUUGGACAAUGGGGGCAACCCUGAUCCAGCCAUGCCGCGUGAGUGAAGAAGGCCUUAGGGUUGUAAAGCUCUUUUACCAGGGAUGAUAAUGACAGUACCUGGAGAAUAAGCUCCGGCUAACUCCGUGCCAGCAGCCGCGGUAAU